CGGAGGGAUCAUUAAAGAGUUCUAUAACUCCCAAACCCAUGUGAACAUACCUAACGUUGCCUCGGCAGGUCGCACCUACCUUGUAGCACCCUACCCUGUAGGGCCUACCCGGGAGGUGCGGGUAAGCCUGCCGGCGGCCCACCAAACUCUGUUUGAUAUUGAAUUCUGAACCUAUAACUAAAUAAGUUAAAACUUUCAACAACGGAUCUCUUGGUUCUGGCAUCGAUGAAGAACGCAGCGAAAUGCGAUAAGUAAUGUGAAUUGCAGAAUUCAGUGAAUCAUCGAAUCUUUGAACGCAUAUUGCGCCCAUUAGUAUUCUAGUGGGCAGGACCGUUCGAGCGUCAUUUCAACCCUUAAGCCUUCGUUGCUUAGUGUUGGGAGCCUACGGCAACGUAGCUCCUCAAAGUUAGUGGCGGAGUUGGUUCACACUCUAGACGUAGUAAUUUUUUAUCUCGCCUAUUAGUUGGACUAAUCCCCUGCCGUAAAACCCCCAAUUUAUCAAGGUUGACCUCGAAUCGGUUCAGACAAACUCGCUAAAUUGAAGCAUCUUAGUCAGCGAAGGAAAAGAAACCAACAGGGAUUGCCCUAGUAACGGCGAGUGAAGCGGCAACAGCUCAAAUUUGAAAUCUGGCCCUC
rnacentral:rRNA from 1 species